rnacentral:lncRNA from 10 species
AUUUUUAAAAAAUAAGUUCUACUGAUAUAAGGGAUGUUUGGCACAUAAUCAACAAAUAAUAAUACAAUAUACAAUACUCUUUAUUGUAAAUGUCACACAAGCAAUUGAUCCUCAGAAUGUUUUAUUGAAUUUGCUGAACUCCUGACUCUGUAGCCAACCUCUGGCUGCAAUUGACAAUCACUUUCAAUAUGAAUGAGAUGAAGGUUGGUUGAUAUUUUGAUUUAUGUUAGUGACACAAAAGUUUGACGAGAAGAACACAGUCGGAAUUUGACUCAUUUGUCCGUGAUGUGAGGGCUUCUUUGCUGAACUGCAUAAUAGUUUUCCAAUACAGGGGAGAAUUUUUUCCAACACAGGGAGACUUUUUUCUCAGUUCAUUGUGCUCAUUACAAUAACAUGACUAAAGACAUGAGCCACCUUUACAUUUGAUUUCAUAUUUUACAUUUUGUCCUCCAUUACUUCUGUAAGUUUAGACAGUCAACAAAACCAAACAAGGAAACAAGUCCUGCUGGGCAGCAUUUGCCAGCCUCCAUGGUGUAAAUAUUCCCGCGGGGAUGCUGACCUCAGGCUGCCAGGGGGACUUCCGGGAGCGUCGGGCGAGGAGGAGCAUGGCGGCCGUCCUCAGUGCAUUUCCACCGCACAGGCGCGGGAGUAGAGGCGUGCAGAGGGUAAAACGGGAAGCUUCUUUAGGCCCUUGUCCUCUGUCGUCUACAUCAGACCUGCCUCGUCCCAUCCAAGCCGAUCACCUUCUGAGAGGACCUGGCCCCCGAGCUCAGGAGCACCCCAGCUCUCAGGACACAGCCCCUCGUGGUGGGACAGCGCCUGCACCUGCAGCCCUGUAGCCCCUGCACAAGGAAUUUGUUGAGGGAAUUUGUAUUUUCUGCUGCUUUCUCCUUGAACCUAUUUGCAUUUUAAAUAAUUAAAACAUUAAAGCUGAAAAAUUUAUAAAUGAGAGUGCUAAGAGAAUCCUGCCUGGCAGACGGUAGAGAAAAAAUCAUUGCCCUGUUAGGUUUGCGCCAGUGUCCUGUCUGUCAUUCUCCCCAAGGUGCGUCCACUGCUGUGGCUCGGGCCUCAGGCAGCUCUCUGGUGCACACACACAGUGCAAUGGUGCACACACACACAGCAUCACAGCAGACAAACUCACACGCAUGGCCAAAGAUGCCCCCACCCAGCGUCGUACACAAGCACAUCCUUCCUCCUCCACACCCACCUCUCUCGAGACCCUGCCGUCUACCCCCUGACGCUUCAGGACUCUAUGGAGGAAGACUUUGAUCUCAUUAUUGGAACAACCUAGAUGGAAUCUCAUCGGUCCUCAAUAACCCUGUUUUCCCUUUCCCA